UUAAGCGACUAAGCGUACACGGUGGAUGCCUAGGCAGUCAGAGGCGAUGAAGGGCGUGCUAAUCUGCGAUAAGCGUCGGUAAGCUGAUAUGAAGCGUUAUACCCGACGAUACCCGAAUGGGGAAACCCAGUGUGUUUCGACACACUAUCAUUACGUGAAUACAUAGCGUAAUGAGGCGAACCGGGGGAACUGAAACAUCUCAGUACCCCGAGGAAAAGAAAUCAACCGAGAUUCCCCCAGUAGCGGCGAGCGAACGGGGAAGAGCCCAGAACCUGAAUCAGUUUGUGUGUUAGUGGAAGCGUCUGGAAAGUCGCACAGUAAAGGGUGAUAGUCCCGUACACAAAAAUGCACAAGUUGUGAGUUCGAUGAGUAGGGCGGGACACGUGACAUCCUGUCUGAAUAUGGGGGGACCAUCCUCCAAGGCUAAAUACUCCUGACUGACCGAUAGUGAACCAGUACCGUGAGGGAAAGGCGAAAAGAACCCCGGCGAGGGGAGUGAAAUAGAACCUGAAACCGUGUACGUACAAGCAGUGGGAGCACCCUUUGGGGUGUGACUGCGUACCUUUUGUAUAAUGGGUCAGCGACUUAUAUUCUGUAGCAAGGUUAACCGAAUAGGGGAGCCGCAGGGAAACCGAGUCUUAACUGGGCGUUAAGUUGCAGGGUAUAGACCCGAAACCCGGUGAUCUAGCCAUGGGCAGGUUGAAGGUUGGGUAACACUAACUGGAGGACCGAACCGACUAAUGUUGAAAAAUUAGCGGAUGACUUGUGGCUGGGGGUGAAAGGCCAAUCAAACCGGGAGAUAGCUGGUUCUCCCCGAAAGCUAUUUAGGUAGCGCCUCGUGAAUUCAUCUUCGGGGGUAGAGCACUGUUUCGGCUAGGGGGUCAUCCCGACUUACCAACCCGAUGCAAACUACGAAUACCGAAGAAUGUUAUCACGGGAGACACACGGCGGGUGCUAACGUUCGUCGUGAAGAGGGAAACAACCCAGACCGCCAGCUAAGGUCCCAAAGUCAUGGUUAAGUGGGAAACGAUGUGGGAAGGCAUAGACAGCCAGGAUGUUGGCUUAGAAGCAGCCAUCAUUUAAAGAAAGCGUAAUAGCUCACUGGUCGAGUCGGCCUGCGCGGAAGAUGUAACGGGGCUAAACCAUGCACCGAAGCUGCGGCAGCGACACUUAGGUGUUGUUGGGUAGGGGAGCGUUCUGUAAGCCUGCGAAGGUGGCCUGUGAGGGUUGCUGGAGGUAUCAGAAGUGCGAAUGCUGACAUAAGUAACGAUAAUGCGGGUGAAAAACCCGCACGCCGGAAGACCAAGGGUUCCUGUCCAACGUUAAUCGGGGCAGGGUGAGUCGACCCCUAAGGCGAGGCUGAAAAGCGUAGUCGAUGGGAAACAGGUUAAUAUUCCUGUACUGGGUGUUACUGCGAAGGGGGGACGGAGAAAGCUAGGUUAUCCGGGCGACGGUUGUCCCGGUUUAAGCGUGAAGGUGGGUGACUUUGGUAAAUCCGGGUCAUCGUUAACACUGAGGCGUGAUGACGAGUCACUACGGUGAUGAAGUAACUGAUGCUACGCUUCCAGGAAAAGCCUCUAAGCUCCAGGUAACACCGAAUCGUACCCCAAACCGACACAGGUGGUCAGGUAGAGAAUACUCAGGCGCUUGAGAGAACUCGGGUGAAGGAACUAGGCAAAAUGGUGCCGUAACUUCGGGAGAAGGCACGCUGAUGGUAAGUGAAGUGACUUGCUCAUGGAGCUGAAAUCAGUCGAAGAUACCAGCUGGCUGCAACUGUUUAAUAAAAACACAGCACUGUGCAAACACGAAAGUGGACGUAUACGGUGUGACGCCUGCCCGGUGCCGGAAGGUUAAUUGAUGGGGUCAGCCGCAAGGCGAAGCUCUUGAUCGAAGCCCCGGUAAACGGCGGCCGUAACUAUAACGGUCCUAAGGUAGCGAAAUUCCUUGUCGGGUAAGUUCCGACCUGCACGAAUGGCGUAAUGAUGGCCAGGCUGUCUCCACCCGAGACUCAGUGAAAUUGAACUCGCUGUGAAGAUGCAGUGUACCCGCGGCAAGACGGAAAGACCCCGUGAACCUUUACUAUAGCUUGACACUGAACCUUGAGCCUUGAUGUGUAGGAUAGGUGGGAGGCUUUGAAGUGUGGACGCCAGUCUGCAUGGAGCCAACCUUGAAAUACCACCCUUUAAUGUUUGAUGUUCUAACGUAGACCCGUAAUCCGGGUUGCGGACAGUGUCUGGUGGGUAGUUUGACUGGGGCGGUCUCCUCCCAAAGCGUAACGGAGGAGCACGAAGGUUAGCUAAUCCUGGUCGGACAUCAGGAGGUUAGUGCAAAGGCAUAAGCUAGCUUGACUGCGAGAGUGACAGCUCGAGCAGGUGCGAAAGCAGGUCUUAGUGAUCCGGUGGUUCUGAAUGGAAGGGCCAUCGCUCAACGGAUAAAAGGUACUCCGGGGAUAACAGGCUGAUACCGCCCAAGAGUUCAUAUCGACGGCGGUGUUUGGCACCUCGAUGUCGGCUCAUCACAUCCUGGGGCUGAAGUAGGUCCCAAGGGUAUGGCUGUUCGCCAUUUAAAGUGGUACGCGAGCUGGGUUUAGAACGUCGUGAGACAGUUCGGUCCCUAUCUGCCGUGGGCGUUGGAAGAUUGAGAGGGGUUGCUCCUAGUACGAGAGGACCGGAGUGAACGCACCACUGGUGUACGGGUUGUGAUGCCAAUUGCAUUGCCCGGUAGCUAAGUGCGGAAGAGAUAACCGCUGAAAGCAUCUAAGCGGGAAACUUGCCUCGAGAUGAGUCUUCCCUGGACACUUGAUGUCCCUGAAGGGCCGUUGAAGACGACGACGUAGAUAGGCUGGGUGUGUAAGCGUAGCGAUACGUUGAGCUAACCAGUACUAAUGACCCGAGAGGCUUAACCUU
rnacentral:rRNA from 1 species